GCGAGAAAUUAGCCCCGCCUUCUCUAGUCGCUACCCCAGCUGCGCUAGGAAGUAGAUGCGGAAAGGUCUGUUGUAGGGUUAUAGAGCCUCAUCCAUUCCUUUCCUGAAUCCAUGCAGUCUAAAGAUACAAUGACACAAUGAUUCCUCUGGCCCAGGUUCCCAGCGACACAUCUGUAAACAUUUAAUACGUUUGCUACGUGAGCUUUAUUAUGUUUUGUUUCUUUCCCUUGUUUACUAUCUAUCGCAUGUUGGGUAGAGGUCCAGGCUAGCUACGGUGACAAUAGCACCCAGAGGGCAGAAACUAGAUUUGUGUGAGAAUUUCUUGUCUUCGCAUCUAGCAAAAUCUAAUUGUAGUCAAGGUAUAUUUCCCACCUACCCCUCCACCCGCUCCAGUAAAUGAGCUCAACACUAUGCCAUGAGGCUCUUGAAACAUAGAUGUGAAAAGGACUUGAGAGAUUCACUAGAUAACCUAGAUUCCAAAGGAAGCAAAGUCCCACAAGAAUUUAAAUGGCUUGGUUAUGGAAGUAGUAACAGAAGCUGGUUUUGAACCCAGGUCAAAAACUCCAAAACUAGUGCUUUUUCCAGCAAGGGGGGGGAAAGGGUAAGAAUGGGAGAAGGCAAGUUAUAUGUAAUUCUGAGUUAAGAGAAAAAUGUGGAAUAAUAAUAUACCUUAAAGUUAUAAAUGUUUGUUUGGCCAGAGCAUUAGCAGUCCUGUACUACUAAUCAAACUAUCAAUGUUUGAAGCCUUGUGAUCCUCUGGAUCCUUUCCUCCAGACUACCGUAAUACAAGCACAGAAUAAUAAAAGCUGGGGCAGCUACUCUGUUUAGUGGAUAGAGAGCCAGACCUGGAGACCAAAGAUUUGGGAUUCAAAAAUGACCUCAGAUACUUCCUACUUUUAUCACUUAGCCUCAAUUGCCUAGCCCUUACCACUCCUCUGCCUCAAAACCAAUAGUUUCUGUCAGAAGGUAAAGGUUUUUUGUUUCUUUUAAGAAUUAUUAAAAUUCCCAUUUUCUGUUAAGUUUACUGUCAACAAAGCACAUUCUUCACAACAAUCUUGUGAAUAGAUAGGAUCAAUGUUUCUUCAAAGCUCCAUGUUUUGAUAUGAAUGUUUCCUCUGCCAAUACAAAUUAGGAAUCCCUUUACAACUUAGAAGCCCCACUUAUAGCAUUGAAGUCUCUGAAAAAAAAAAUGUAGUACCCUGUAGGCAACCUAAUGAUCAGCCUUCAGACAACAGAUAUACCAUCUAUUACUAGGCCCAAAUUUGGAGCCAUUCCAGCUUGGUAUAAUCUGCCAGAACUUGGAUUCCACUUGUAGAGACUUCAAGAAUCCAGAGACACCACCAUGUCACAAUGAGGCAUCAGAAUAGAAUUUUUAAAUGGAAGUACACAAGUAUAUAUCAAGAGAGCAUAGGAUUUGGAGCCAGAGGACUUCUCUUAAGCCAGGUAUCUUGGUCGUGUCUUCAGCAAGGGUUCCACCAGUGCAGCCUCCUCCAGGAAAGGAAGGCCUCUUCAGAACCAAUCUCUCCAGAAACCAGGAAAAAAAGGCCGCCUACUCACCCAGUAAAAGAGUCUCCUCCUUCAGUCCAACUCACUGAAGUAAAAUCUCCAAAGAUGAACUCCAAAGGAGAAGUAGUUCAAAUGAGAAGUCAGAAGAAGUUCCCUGGACUGUGGAGUGGGGGAGAGAAUCUGGAACAGAAAAUAAAGUAAAAUUGAUUUUUUUUUAAAAAGCAAGUUAUGCAGAGCCAGAACUGGUUGAAAUUCCAAACUUACAAAUAUGGAUAUUAAAUGGUUUGAUAUCAAGUUGGAAGAUUUGUAGGAUUCUGUGCUAUUUUACUAGUCACUACAGGCUGCUAGGUGGCUCAAUGGGUAGAGGCCUGGGCAUGGAGUCAGGAAGAUCUAAGUUCAAAUACAUUCUCAGGCACUGUGUGACCCUGGGCAACCUUUGUCUGCCUCAAUCUUCUCAGUUCUGUAAACCUUAAAAUUUCUUAGGCUUGUGAAUGUUGGAAAUUUCCCCAUUUCCAACAUUAGGUAGGGAGGGUCCUUCUCCUCCCUACCUGAGAUUACUUUAGGACAGAAACCUUUUGCUGAAAAAUGGAGAGGGCUUUGACCUAUGCUUAAGCAUGGAGCGGGAGGUUCUUUGAGUCAUGAUUGAUUUUAGAAUUGAUACAAUGGAAAUGCUUGGAGUGACAGAGCCAGGUCUUGGAGAAUACAAUUUCCACUGAGCUACCCAGCUGUCCCUUAAGAUUAAAGGGAAGAAAAAGAAAAAUUGCUGAUUCCAAUUUAACUUAAGGAGAAAAGAGAAGAGAGAAAAAGUUUUUUAUACUCACGUGUUCUAGCAGCUGUGUCUUUAAGCCAAGUUUGUUGUUAAAAGGAACUAAGUGGUGAGAUGGUAGAGUAAAAAGGCAAGGAAUUUCAGAAGUUUAUUGAGAGAAUUCUUUAGAGUCCCUUCGUGGUCGCCACAAAUGUGGGAAAGAAAUCACUUAAAAGACUGAUAAAUAUUAAUUUAAGGUCGCCAAGGAAUUCAGCUAUGUAAUUUCUAAAUGAAAACUCAAGUCAGCAGUCAACUUUUUAUGGAGUUUAAUUACAAACAGGAGGAAGAAAGGUAUGAGAGAGAGAGAGAGAGAGAGAGAGAGAGAGAGAGAGAGAGAGAGAGAGAGAAAGGGGAGAGAAGGGAAUAGGGCUUAAAUACCUCCUCUGUUUAGGUUGGGCCAAAAGGCCCAAGCCCUUAGAUAGCUGAGGCAAAGAAAGGAGAUCAGUCCCUAUCACUCACGUGACCAAAAUGGAGAAACAGUUUCAGGGGGCCUCCACCUCCAGCUUCCUUCAGAGCCAGCCUUCUCAGAGCACCACCUCUCAGAGGAAAACCUCUCCAACCACCUCUAGUCCUCAGACCCUGCUAUCUUUAAGGAAACCAUCCAGGUUCCCUCCCCUCAGUUCUCACAUCUACCAAUCACUGUCCAUGUGUUCCCUGUGCCAAUGGUGGCUCUACCUUAACCCAGGACCACCCAGAGGUCUGUGGCUUUGCACAUGUCUGUUGAAGGUCAUAUUCUCAAAUAAUUAAAUCUUGAUCUAUGCUGCAGCCCUUCCUAAAUCCUGUUAGGACUGAGUAGGGUGGAAAUUGUAUUCUCCAAGACCUGGCUCUGUCACUCCAAGCAUCUCCAUUGUAUCAAUUCUAAAAUCAAUCAUGACUCAAAGAACCUCCUGCUCCAUGCUUAAGCAUAGGUCAAAGCCCUUUCCAUUGUUCAGCAAAAGGUUUAUGUCCUAAAGUAAUCUCAGGUAGGGAGGAGAAGGACCCUCCCUACCUAAUGUUGGAAAUCAGGUAAAGCCCCUGAUGUUGUCCAGUCUACUUCCCUGCCUCCUGCAUCCCAGUGUAGACUACAUGACUCUGAGUUUGAACUCUAUCACAGAAACAAGGACUGUGUAAGGGAAAUCAUUGGGUGAAUUGAGUCACAAGUAUAGACUAACAGCAGGAAAAAUGUAGCAGUAGAGUCAAGAGGUCAAGAGACAGGGGGGAACAGGGUGGUCUUACCUGCAGUACCCACUGGACUGCCCUCCUGGGGGACACAGGCAAAAUAGGAAGCCAUAGUUGGCUCCCAAGACAUGACAUAUGAGUUAGUGGAUGGAGACAAGGUUUGAUAAACUGAAGCAAGAGUGGAUUUCUCUCUCUUUGCUUCUGGGUUUGGUGCUGACUGGACUUCCCGUGUAGUAGGGGGCCCUCAUAGUAUCCAUAAUAGUAGUAGUCUUUUGGUAACCGAGGAUGACGAUUGUCUUUGUGUGCUUUCAUCUGUGAUGUAGAUGAGUGUGCACAAAGACACUUGUGCAUGAAGGAGAUUUAAGUGGAAAAGUCGAUGCACAGAGACAAUCCCACUCUCGACGUUGGAAGCCUGGGUCCAGUGGCACGAAAAGUUGUUACACCUGGAGACUUCCUCAGCUGCAUUGGAUGGCCAUGUUGUCUUUUGUGCUCCAACACGCCCUAAGCACUCCACAGUGCUUUGCUGCAUUGCCCUCUCAGCCGUUGAACCUUCUUAUUGGUUUCUUCCAUCUGUUCCGCCGAAGCAGUCUUCACAUGCUAGAUUGUAUCCAGUUUGAGAUUGUUCUGAUCUGGGCCUCCUUUACUCUGCAUAGCCCUCUAGGAUACUGAAACAAAAUAAAACACUUUGAGAUCAUUCCAUAGACAAGAAAAAAAGAUUCCAUUAACCAGAACUCAAGACUUGGCAUUUAGGACACCUCCAGCUGAUUCAUCCGAGUGGAGAUCCAGUUGCCUAAAUUGCCUGAGUUGCCCACUGUUUUCUAUCAGGUAUCAGAGGACACCUGGAGCCCUCCUGGCAGCUUUGUAGUCAAGCUAUCCGGAAGUGACAUUAAUAACAUGAGUUUUUAGUACUUUGAGUCAACUAAUUCAAAGAUGGCUUCAGUAUGUUUUUAGGAAAAACUAGCCAAAUUUUCAUGAAAGAGUCAGGAUAGUACUCCUACCAUUGACUUCAAGAACAAAGGGUUUCACAUUCUUCUUGCCUGUGCAAGAAUUGGUAACUACUCUUUUGUUUCCUUGUGUCAUUCACAUCUUUUUCUUUUUGCACAUUUCAACUUCCUUUAAGCAAGUUUUAGAGUACACUAUUUUGCAUCUGGCUUUAUUAUGACUGAACUAGUGAAUCUGAUUCCAGAACCUCAUUGUUUUUGAUUCCUUCUUAUUAUUUAAUGGUGUAUGGAGUUGAUGAAAUUGUUUAAGACUCAGUUUUAAGAGUUAUUAACCCAAAAUAUUGGGGAGGGGGGAUGGCUUGAUUGACAAUGAAUUUGGUUUGAGGUUUCAUACUAAGAUGUCAGUUUCCUAAAAUGAUAUGUUUGCUUUCUUAAUUUGCUUUUUAUUUCAGAAACAUGCUGAUUAGAAAGCAGAAUCUGUUUAUAUAGUAGACUUUUUGAAGCUCAUGUUAUUUUAAAAAAUGUAUUGCUAAUGAUCCAACCAUUCUGGAGGGCAAUUUGGAACUAUGCCCAAAGGGCACUAAAAGCCUUUUGACCCAGCUAUAACACUGUUGGGUUUAUGCUCCAAAGAGAUCAUAAGGAAAAAGACUUGUACAAAAAUAUUUAUAGCCAUGUUCUUUGUGGUGGCAAAAAAUUGGAAAAUGAGGGGAUGCCCUUCAAUUGGGGAAUGACUGAACAAACUGUGGUAUAUGUUGGUGAUGGAAUACUAUUGUGCUCAAAGGAACAAUAAAGUGGAGGAAUUCCAUGGGAACUGGAAUGACCUCCAGGAAUUGAUGCCAGAGUGAAAGGAGCAGAACCAGGAGAACACUGUCCACAGAGACUGAUACACUAUGGUACAAUCAAAUGUAAUGGACUUCUCCAUUAGUGGCAAUGCAGUGAUUCAAACAACUUGGAGCAAUCUACGAGAAAGAACACUAUCCACAUUCAGAGGAAAAACUGUGGGAGCAGAAACACUGAAGAAAACAACUGCUUGAUUACAUGGGUGGAGGGGGAUAUGACUGGGGAUAUAGACUCUAAAUGAUCAUCCUAGUGCAAACAUCAACAACAUGGAAAUAGGUUCUGAUCAAGGACACAUGUAAUACCCAGUGGAAUUGCACGUCAGCUACAGGAAGGGGUGGGGGGAGGGAAGGAAGGGAAAGAAUAUAAUUCUUGUAACCAAGGAAUAAUGUUCUAAAUUGACUAAAUAAAAUUUAAAAAAAUGUAUUGCUGAUAACUCACAUUUAUAUAAUGUUUUAAGGUUUGUAAAACAUUUUAUGUAAAUUAUCUCAUUUGAUAUUUAUG